rnacentral:lncRNA from 1 species
UGGGUCCACUUGGUUAUCUGGAUUUCAUUGUCUUUUUUAGGAUUUCUCAGUCGUGCUGUCUUCUUGAGACUGUGUGUGGAGUCAACCAGUCAUGGAUAAAGGAAGACGUGAAGUCAGUCCCAGUGCACCGGCACGGAGUACCAAAAGGAAGGCAGAUGAAUACUUAAAACCCAAACUAAGCUCCAAAAAUGUGCUGAGUUUUUUGCUAGGUAGACAACUAGGGAGGCAUGAAAGUGAUGUGGAUCUGUCAAAGUGGCUGUUGAUGUUGCAACGAGCAAAACCUGGGUGGGGUUGGCCUUUUCCAAAACACCAUGUGGCUUACAUGCUUAUGCCUGCCCAGAAUCUUGGAAAACCCAGAAAAAAGGGUGUAGAAUAAAAAGUCUUCCUUGUUUCAGCUAUUGACAUAGAAGCUGUAUUUUUACUUCUUUCUGUUCAAUGUGUGUUUUCUGACGUAGCCUUCUUGAGUUGCCCUGGAAGAGAUCCUAUUAUCCAUUCUAACAUUCCACACAGGAAUUUUCAAACUCAAGGGGAUGGUGAGGUCACUCUCCACAUCACAUCUUUUCCACUAUUAAUCUGUAGAAUAAAUGUGAAGGCAUAGCUCUAUGGUGUUUGGCCACUCAGAACCAAAUACUCUUCCCCCAAGCCAUUUUAGAGGGCCAUACAUUCUGUUUCACUCUAAAAUCUGCUUGCCUCAGUGAGAAACAUUGUUUAAUAGCAGGCCAUGAGCUGGGUAGGAGGUUUCAAAUACUUUUUCAUAAUGAUGCUCAUGAGGGCAUAAUUUACAAACUAAAGCAUUGUGUCUUUGUUGGUUCUAUUUAAUAUGAAAAAUCAGAGCAUUGACUGUUGGAAAUGUUAUACCUCAAGAGCCUUGUAAAGAUAAUUGUUCUUCUCAUUGUUCCCAAAGAACUGGAAUCCCCAGGUGCUUCUUCCCCGCUGUGCCAUGUGAAAUAAAUUUGUUC